GACAGAGGUGCCAAGCGUUAGGCGGAAUCACUGGGCUUAAAGCGUGUGUAGGCGGGUUCCUAAGUACCUUGUGAAAUCCCCCGGCUCAACCGGGGAACUGCUGGGUAUACUGGGUGCCUUGAGUACAGACGAGGUUGGCGGAAUGGACUGAGUAGCGGUGAAAUGCAUAGAUACAGUCCAGAACCCCGAUUGCGAAGGCAGCUGACUAGGCUGUUACUGACGCUGAGGCACGAAAGCGUGGGGAGCGAACAGG
rnacentral:rRNA from 1 species